GACGAACGCUGGCGGCGUGCCUAAUACAUGCAAGUAGAACGCACAGUUUAUACCGUAGCUUGCUACACCAUAGACUGUGAGUUGCGAACGGGUGAGUAACGCGUAGGUAACCUGCCUGGUAGCGGGGGAUAACUAUUGGAAACGAUAGCUAAUACCGCAUAAUAUUAAUUAUUGCAUGAUAAUUAAUUGAAAGGUGCAAUUGCACCACUACCAGAUGGACCUGCGUUGUAUUAGCUAGUAGGUGAGGUAACGGCUCACCUAGGCGACGAUACAUAGCCGACCUGAGAGGGUGAUCGGCCACACUGGGACUGAGACACGGCCCAGACUCCUACGGGAGGCAGCAGUAGGGAAUCUUCGGCAAUGGACGAAAGUCUGACCGAGCAACGCCGCGUGAGUGAAGAAGGUUUUCGGAUCGUAAAGCUCUGUUGUAAGAGAAGAACGGGUGUGAGAGUGGA
rnacentral:rRNA from 1 species